AGAGAGAGACAUGCGCGCAUAUCAAUAAGCGGAGGAAAAGAAACUAACAAGGAUUCCCUUAGUAACGGCGAGUGAAGCGGGAAGAGCUCAAAUUUGAAAUCUUCAAGGUUUUACCUUGACGAAUUGUAGUUUAAAGAAGUGUUUUCUACUGAAGUUUUGGUAAAAGUUCUUUGGAAUAGGACAUCAUAGAGGGUGAGAAUCCCGUAUUUGACCAUUAUUUUCAGCUUUGUGAUACACUUUCAAAGAGUCGGAUUGUUUGGGAAUGCAGUCCAAAAUGGGUGGUAAAUUUCAUCUAAAGCUAAAUAUUGGCGAGAGACCGAUAGCGAACAAGUACCGUGAGGGAAAGAUGAAAAGAACUUUGAAAAGAGAGUUAAACAGUACGUGAAAUUGUCAAAAGGGAAGCGUUUGACACCAGUGUUGUUUUCUCGAAAAUCAAUUAAAAAUGGCUCGAUUUUGUAUUGCUGAGACCUUAAAAGCUCACUGUACAUUUUUCGUGUCUUUUUUAAUGCACUUUUCGUUUAACAAGUCAACAUCAGUUUCUUUUGUUGUAAAAGGGUCAUUGGAAGGUGGCUUUCUUUUCGGAGAAAGUGUUUAUAGCCUUUGGCCUCUGCAAUCGGAAGAGACUGAGGUCUGCAGCGUAGACUCCUCGGGGUUAGAUACAUUUGUGCUAAGUUAUAGCUUUUUAUAGACAACUUGUUGACUAUAAUUAGUCCUUGUAGCUUACUCGCUUAUGCUAUUUUACCUACGCUUAGGAUGUUGAAGAUGUAGCACAUCAU
rnacentral:rRNA from 1 species